AUUGAACGCUGGCGGCAGGCCUAACACAUGCAAGUCGAACGAGUGGCGGACGGGUGAGUAAUGUCUGGGAAACUGCCUGAUGGAGGGGGAUAACUACUGGAAACGGUAGCUAAUACCGCAUCCACUCGGAUGUGCCCAGAUGGGAUUAGCUAGUAGGUGGGGUAAAGGCUCCCCUAGGCGACGAUCCCUAGCUGGUCUGAGAGGAUGAACAGCCACCAUGGAAACGAGACACGGGCCCAGCUCCCAAGGUGGGCAGCCGUGGGGAAUAUUGCACAAUGGGCGCAAGCCUGAUGCAGCCAUGCCGCGUGUAUGAAGAAGGCCUUCGGGUUGUAAAGUACUUUCAGCGGGGAGGCGUUACCCGCAGAAGAAGCACCGGCUAACUCCGUGCCAGCAGCCGCGGUAAUUC
rnacentral:rRNA from 1 species